AGUUCACUUCAUUGUUCUCAAUGGAAGGGUUUUCCCUGCUUACCUUGAAAGCAAAUUAAUUCAACUUUCUAACACUACCUUGGCUCUUUCUUGCAGGAUGUGCAGUCUGUAUGCUUCUCUAUUCAGCACCAAUAUUGACAUUUAAAAGAGUAAUCAAGGAGGCUAGUGUAGGCGAAUUCUCAUGCAUACCGUAUAUCCUGACUCUGUUCAGCUGCCUCACAUAUAGCUGGUAUGGUUUUCCAAUUGUUAGUUCUGGGUGGAAGAACUUGACAGUUUUCCUCAACUCAAUAGGAGUACUCUUUGAAAUAUCAUUCAUCAGCAUAUACCUAUGGUUUGCACCAAAAGAAAAAAAGGUAAGUCGUUUCUAAAGAACUCAAUAUUGCUCCUUAAGGUAGCUGAAUGUUAAUGUCUGUCAAGCUUCUCUAGUCAGUUCCACUAUCAUACUUGAUAUGGUAAGAUCAAAUCAGUAGGACAUCAGAAGACCUAAACUGUAAAAUGCAGAAGCAAAUGGCUCCCCCCACACCCAAAAAAAAACAAUACAGUUGCCACACGAUAUGCCAGUAUACAGUUCAUUUCAAACUUCAAAGCAAAUCAAUUCCUUCAUGCAGCAACAUGUAAGCAAUUAUUGAGGCCAUGAUGCGAUUCCUCAAUCUUCAUGUUUAAUUAGCCCUGCUAAAAUGGAUGUCAUGUUGAUUUUGUGGAUGUGUGAAUAUUAUUGAAACUUGGCUACCGAAAGGCAGCAACACAACAAAUGUUAAAUUGGAAGGUCUUUCUUUCUCUGAAUUUACAAAAACCAUAUCACAUAUUCUUUUACAACACACACACAAUACAUAACAAAUAUCCAAACUUUGUUUUUCAUUUAUUCUUUAAAAAUAAAUAUAUAAUGAUGCUAUUACAUUAGUUUUGUCUAGGUAAGCAUACUUCGAAGUUUCAUGCUUGUUAGCAUGGAGUUUUUGAAAGUACCAAACUAUGCCUAAAAAAGGAUUCAGUAUUCAUAAGCUGACCAAGAAUCCUUACUAAUUUGCAGAAGCUCGUUAUCCUAAUCGUAUCUCUGUUUCUGGCUAUCUUCGCCAUGACCAUAUUAAUCUCAUGCUUUAUAAUCCACACCCACCACAUGUCCACAUACGCAAGGUAUUUGUUGGAAGUAUUGGUGUAUUGUCUGCCAUGCUGAUGUACGGCUCCCCCCUUGUUGCUGUGGUGAGUACUAUUAGUUAUAGCAGCUCCAGAAACAUGGACUGAGAUCUAAACAAUUACAGGCAUCAUCACAAAAUCAUGCAUAUGAUCUAAGAUUGAAAAAAAUGUAUGAAACUUUAUAAAUAUUUUAUAAAAUACAUAUGAUCCAUAAGAUGUAUGCAACAACUCUAUAAAUACUUUCCAUAUACUAAAUUACUACAUAAAAAUGCAUUAAUAUAGACAAGGAAAAAACUAGAAGAACAUAGUUUCUGGUGAUGCACUUGAUGCUUUUUUUUGUCAUUUUUUGACACAUUAUCUAACGAUUUAACCUUUUUUGCAAUCCCACAAUUGCAGAAACGAGUUGUGAGGACGAGAAGUGUGGAGUUCAUGCCUUUCUACUUGUCAUUGUUUUCCUUCCUAACCAGUUUAAUCUGGAUGGUAUAUGGACUCCUAGGCAGGGAUCCCUAUAUUACGGUUGGUAACUUCAUAUGCAAUCUCAUCAAAUGAGGAAAAAAA